rnacentral:rRNA from 1 species
CAUACGGGUGGCUGCAGUGGGGAAUAUUGGACAAUGGGGGCAACCCUGAUCCAGCCAUGCCGCGUGUGUGAAGAAGGCCCUCGGGUUGUAAAGCACUUUCAGUGAGGAAGAACGCCUGGUGGUUAAUACCCAUCAGGAAAGACAUCACUCACAGAAGAAGCACCGGCUAACUCCGUGCCAGCAGCCGCGGUAAUACGGAGGGUGCGAGCGUUAAUCGGAAUUACUGGGCGUAAAGCGCGCGUAGGUGGCUUGAUAAGCCGGUUGUGAAAGCCCCGGGCUCAACCUGGGAACGGCAUCCGGAACUGUCAAGCUAGAGUGCAGGAGAGGAAGGUAGAAUUCCCGGUGUAGCGGUGAAAUGCGUAGAGAUCGGGAGGAAUACCAGUGGCGAAGGCGGCCUUCUGGACUGACACUGACACUGAGGUGCGAAAGCGUGGGUAGCAAACAGGAUUAGAUACCCCAGUAGUC